UGACCUGCGGAGGGAUCAUUACACAAAUAUGAAGGCGGGCUGGAACCUCUCGGGGUUACAGCCUUGCUGAAUUAUUCACCCUUGUCUUUUGCGUACUUCUUGUUUCCUUGGUGGGUUCGCCCACCACUAGGACAAACAUAAACCUUUUGUAAUUGCAAUCAGCGUCAGUAACAAAUUAAUAAUUACAACUUUCAACAACGGAUCUCUUGGUUCUGGCAUCGAUGAAGAACGCAGCGAAAUGCGAUAAGUAGUGUGAAUUGCAGAAUUCAGUGAAUCAUCGAAUCUUUGAACGCACAUUGCGCCCUUUGGUAUUCCAAAGGGCAUGCCUGUUCGAGCGUCAUUUGUACCCUCAAGCUUUGCUUGGUGUUGGGCGUCUUGUCUCUAGCUUUGCUGGAGACUCGCCUUAAAGUAAUUGGCAGCCGGCCUACUGGUUUCGGAGCGCAGCACAAGUCGCACUCUCUAUCAGCAAAGGUCUAGCAUCCAUUAAGCCUUUUUUUCAACUUUUGACCUCGGAUCAGGUAGGGAUACCCGCUGAACUUAAGCAUAUCAAUAAGCGGAGGAAAAGAAACCAAACAGGGAUUGCCCUAGUAACGGCGAGUGAAGCGGCAACAGCUCAAAUUUGAAAUCUGGCUCUUUUAGAGUCCGAGUUGUAAUUUUGCAGAGGGCGCUUU
rnacentral:rRNA from 1 species